rnacentral:lncRNA from 1 species
AAGGAAACCGGGCCUUCGACUUUGCUCAAGUUAGGACGAGGUUCUCCUCCUGUCCCUAACAGGGCUGUGGGGGCACAUAUGGGCGUUACAGGGCCUCUCCCCCCAUCCGGUCUAAAAGGAACCGGGCCUUCGACUUUGCUCAAGUUAGGGCGAGGUUCUCCUCCUGUCCCUAACAGGACUGUGGGGGCACAUAUGGACGUUGUAGGGCCUCUCCCCCCAUCCGAUCUAAAUGGAACCGGGCCUUCAACUUUGUUCAAGUUAGGGCGAGGUUCUCCUCCUAUCCCUAACAGGACUGUGGGGGCUCAUAUGGGCGUUGUAGGGCCUCUCCCCCCAUCCGGUCUAAAUGGAACCGGGCCUUCGACUUUGU